GCGACCUCACAGGGAGUUGUUGGGCAUGCAUUCUCGCCUGGCCACCACUGCAAGGGGCAGAGUCCCAACGACACACCAGCAGCAACAGGAGUUGGCGUACGACAGCCCCUGUCCCUCGACGCUCGUCUUCCAAUGGGCUGCACGAGCUUCAGGCAUGCAGCAGCAGGUGGCUUUGGAGAUUUCCAACAAAAGGUGUGGGAGACCAGUGAGUAGCCGCAGACCACCACCGGAAGGUAGUGUGGAUCUCUGACACAUGGCGUGGGCAGCAACCAUCAUUUGGUCGGACAGGCAGCACGUGAGCCAGACCUUUCUUCUUCUAUAAAACCCAUUGUCGAUUGUAAAUUGAGGCGCUUUUCGAUCUACCUUGAAAAACUAAGGAUCACCAUAGCAAUCCAUGAUCGAUUUUAGCACCAAUCGACUCUGUCCUUCAUUUGGAAACAACUCUCUAUUUCCUGGCGAGAAGACUCUCUAGUAGAUCUGUUUAAACGCCCACCGCUUGUUACUUCAGUAGUCUUUCACCCUCCCAAAGCUCAGACCAGAUCAUUUGCCUCCUGCAGUUUCAAAGGAGCCCAUGCUCAACUGGUACCAUGACUUCCGCCAGUCGAAAUCAACAAAACUCCUGCCGCCAGUCUAACCCCUACAGUAACCCUCCCCUGUUCGCAUGAAGGAGGGAACAACAGCUGUUCAACAAGGUGGCGUUGUCACCUCCAAUUACCAAUUACUGUAAAAUUGCACAGUCUGAAUCAUCGAAGUGUUACGAUUCCAACACGCUGGAGCUCGACUGGAGAAGUGGUCGGAGUCAGUCGGAAUCGCAAGUUUUUCAGUCCCCUAUUUUUGUAACUAUUGUCCCUGCCACUGCAAAAUACAACUAUGUUCAAAAAUGCCAUAUCUUCGGAUCCUGAUAUUGGAUAAUUACUAGAGUAGGCUUUUCAUCUUUCUGACUCCCGCACUGUUCCAACAAGCCAUAACACAUACACAUCCGAGCUGAGAGCAGAAAUCUGUAGAUCUGCAAAGCAGGCUCUCUCUCUCGAUAGACCCAGCCUGUGAAGCUGCGACAGCCGCAGGAACAGUCUCUGUUUUGCGGCCUUUGCCAGCUGCUUCAGUCACCGGUUCACUCUCUCGCUAGUUCCAUUACAUUCCUAACUUCUCCACCUUUCCAACGAGCCCAGGCACGUCUGAUUCUGACAUCUGAAUCAACCGCAUCAGUUCAUGGAAGCAGCACCCGAUCUGUGGCUGUCUCAGGCGAGAACCAAAGCCUCGUGGGUCUUGGUGGCUGAAUCAUUCCAGCAUCUUUCAGUUGACCAAUCCUCUGUAUUGGUCUGUGUCUGGUAAUCAAAUCUGCCACUUUUCCAACUGAUUUGUGCCCUGUUGAAGAGCAUUAACUGUUGUAUUCUUGGUUGCACAAUUGAGAGGAAGAGGAGCUGAACUUACGGUGUACCCUGCUGCUUCUCAAGGCGCUGCUUUUCUAGCAAUAUCCCUAGUCACCGAUGACCGCCCUAAGAUCGUCCGAAGUAAGAGUUCCGCUUCUAAAUCAUUCUCAUUAGAGGAAAACGAGAGAAGGGAAGAGAAAAAGCUGAAGAACGAGAGAAUAGAUGAGGAAAAAAGGGGGCAGACGAGAUAUUGAGAAAUAGAGGAAGAGAAGAAUGAUAGAGAAGGGAUGACAUAAACAGGAAAGCUAAACACACCUUUUCCGGUGCCGGUCAACAAAACAGUGGCGGACUUUGCCGUUGCUGGCUACCACAUGAUGACGUCGAACCAGAGGCGCACAGAUGCUAGCAUUCCGCAGUCCUGCUCUAGCCUUUAGUCAUGUGAACAAAAGAAGAGGAGGAACUAAGGAAGGCCAGACACAAAGAGAGAAAACCCUUGGGCAUCACAGUCAUUUGCAGUUUCCGCAAGGAGUAAAAUCAGCUGAUGCGGUCAAACUUUUUUUCAGUUUUGUGACAGCACUUAUCAAGCUGAGGAAGGAGCAGAUUUCAUAGAUUCACAGCUGCCAUACUAAAUUAUGAUGAUGUACCAUUGCUAAUGUUCUAAUGUUAUAUUUGAGUCUAACUGUUGAAUAUUGUGUAUGAAUAUGUUGAUGUAAUGUUAUAUGCACUUGGUUUAUAUAACUCUUGAUGUUAAGGUAUAGAUGUAUAUGUAGGAAG